rnacentral:tRNA from 1 species
GGGGGUAUAGCUCAGUGGUAGAGCACAUGCUUAGCAUGCACGAGAACCUGGGUUCAAUUCCCAGUACUGCCA